rnacentral:pre_miRNA from 1 species
AUUCUACUCCCUCCGUUGCACAAUACAUGCCUUCUAUUUGUCAAAAUAUAUAUGUACCUAGACAUGUUUUAGUACAUAGGUACAUCCAUUUUUGGACAAAUGGAAGUCAAGUAUUUUGGAACGGAGGGAGUACACA